CAGGACUCCGAGCGCAGUAGUAAAACCCUCGCUUUGGACUGUACUGGCGCGGCCCUGCCGUAAAACCCCCAACUUCUGAAAAUUUGACCUCGGAUCAGGUAGGAAUACCCGCUGAACUUAAGCAUAUCAAA
rnacentral:rRNA from 1 species